AUGAAUCUUCAGGGCAGGGUGCAAUUCCCUACCGGCGGUAAGGAUGCGUUCGGAGCAUCCAGAGCCCGCGACUCCUAGCUGCUUGCAGCCGGGACUGAUCUGGUGAGAAUCCAGAGCCGACGGUAUAGUCCGGACGGGAGAAGAUCAGA
rnacentral:ncRNA from 2 species